GAUGAACGCUGGCGGCGUGCCUAAUACAUGCAAGUCGAGUGAACAGACGAGGAGCUUGCUCCUCUGACGUUAGCGGCGGACGGGUGAGUAACACGUGGAUAACCUACCUAUAAGACUGGGAUAACUUUGGGAAACCGGAGCUAAUACCGGAUAAUAUAUUGAACCGCAUAGUUCAAUAGUGAAAGACGGUUUUGCUGUCACUUAUAGAUGGAUCCGCGCCGCAUUAGCUAGUUGGUAAGGUAACGGCUUACCAAGGCGACGAUGCGUAGCCGACCUGAGAGGGUGAUCGGCCACACUGGAACUGAGACACGGUCCAGACUCCUACGGGAGGCAGCAGUAGGGAAUCUUCCGCAAUGGGCGAAAGCCUGACGGAGCAACGCCGCGUGAGUGAUGAAGGUCUUCGGAUCGUAAAACUCUGUUAUUAGGGAAGAACAAAUGUGUAAGUAACUAUGCACGUCUUGACGGUACCUAAUCAGAAAGCCACGGCUAACUACGUG
rnacentral:rRNA from 1 species